GAGCAGGAUGAAGCGAAAGUAAAAUUUCGUGGAGGUCCGAACCCACGAGCGUUGAAAAGCUCGGGGAUGACUUGUGGGUAGCGGUGAAAUUCCAAUCGAGCCCGGAGAUAGCUGGUUCUCCCCGAAAGAGCUUUAGGGCUAGCCUCAAGGUGAGAGAUACGGAGGUAGAGCACUGAAUGUCCUAGGGGGUAUUGCACCUACCGAAGACUA
rnacentral:rRNA from 1 species